UUACGGUCACAUCACAUUGUAGCACCGCUUUCCGUACGAUCAUGGAAGUUAAGCAAUAUGAAUCUGGUCAGUACCUAGAUGGGUGAACUCUUGGGAAUUCUAGGUGCUAUA